CCCGUUAGCGCCGAUGGUACUGCAGAGAUGUGGGAGAGUAGGUCGACGCCAACC
rnacentral:rRNA from 1 species